rnacentral:rRNA from 1 species
CUACGGGCUGCUCCAGUGAGGGAUUUUGCGCAAUGGGGGUAACCCUGACGCAGCAACGCCGCGUGAGUGAAGAAGGUCCUUGGGUCGUAAAGCUCUGUCAACAGGGAAGAAGUUAAGAUAUAUUAAUAGUAUAUUUUAUUGACGGUACCUGUGAAGGAAGCACCGGCUAACUCCGUGCCAGCAGCCGCGGUAACACGGGGGGUGCAAGCGUUAUUCGGAAUUAUUGGGCGUAAAGGGCGCGUAGGCGGUUUUGUCAGUCAGAUGUGAAAGCCCGGGGCUCAACCCCGGAAGUGCAUUUGAAACAGCAAGACUUGAGUACGGGAGAGGAAAGCGGAAUUCCUGGUGUAGAGGUGAAAUUCGUAGAUAUCAGGAGGAACACCGAUGGCGAAGGCAGCUUUCUGGACCGAUACUGACGCUGAGGCGCGAAGGCGUGGGUAGCGAACAGGAUUAGAUACCCGAGUAGUC